rnacentral:rRNA from 1 species
GACGAACGCUGGCGGCGUGCCUAACACAUGCAAGUCGAGCGAGGGAUUUAUGACGGAUCCCUUCGGGAUGAAGACAUAAAUCACCUAGCGGCGGACGGGUGAGUAACGCGUGAGGAACCUACCUCCUACAAGGGGAUAGCCUCGGGAAACUGGGAUUAAUACCCUAUGACACUUAAGGAUCGCAUGAUCUUUAGGUUAAAGCGAUAUAGCGGUAGGAGAUGGCCUCGCGUCCCAUUAGCUAGUUGGUGAGGUAACGGCUUACCAAGGCGACGAUGGGUAGCCGGCCUGAGAGGGUGAACGGCCACACUGGAACUGAGACACGGUCCAGACUCCUACGGGAGGCAGCAGUGGGGAAUAUUGCACAAUGGGCGAAAGCCUGAUGCAGCGACGCCGCGUGAGCGAAGAAGGCCUUCGGGUCGUAAAGCUCUGUCCUAUGGGACGAUAAUGACGGUACCAUAGGAGGAAGCCCCGGCUAACUACGUGCCAGCAGCCGCGGUAAUACGUAGGGGGCGAGCGUUGUCCGGAAUUACUGGGCGUAAAGGGUACGUAGGCGGCUAGGUAAGUCAGAUGUGAAAUCCAUGGGCUCAACCCAUGUAAGCAUUUGAAACUGCUUAGCUUGAGUUAAGGAGAGGAAAGUGGAAUUCCUGGUGUAGCGGUGAAAUGCGUAGAUAUCAGGAGGAAUACCAGUGGCGAAGGCGACUUUCUGGCCUUAAACUGACGCUGAGGUACGAAAGCGUGGGGAGCAAACAGGAUUAGAUACCCUGGUAGUCCACGCCGUAAACGAUGAGUGCUAGGUGUCGGGGGUUUAACCUUCGGUGCCGCAGUUAACACAUUAAGCACUCCGCCUGGGGAGUACGUUCGCAAGAAUGA